rnacentral:misc_RNA from 1 species
UUUCCGUAGGUGAACCUGCGGAAGGAUCAUCAACAAAUCCAAUCUUUCAACCCCACACACUGCUCUAUGCGAACUGUAUCUUUUCUUCCUCUUUCUCCUCUUUCUCUUUCGCAAGAGAGAGCCGGGGGGGGGGGGGGAGGGGAAAAACCCCAAAACACACCAAAAAUUUAUCUCGUACAUUCGAGCCUAAGUCUAAAAGUGAAGUUUUGUUGGACCUGGAGGGAGAGGGGGGGAAACCCCUCUUUUCUUUCGGGAAAAACGAAAAGUUUCAUCUUAAACAAUAAAAAAUUAAGACACAACUUUUAACAACGGAUCUCUUGGCUCUC